UACGGAGGAUGCGAGCGUUAUCCGGAUUUAUUGGGUUUAAAGGGUGCGCAGGCGGAUUUUUAAGUCAGCGGUAAAAGCCCGGGGCUCAACCCCGGCCCGCCGUUGAAACUGGCUGGCUUGAGUUGGGGAAAGGCAGGCGGAAUGCGCGGUGUAGCGGUGAAAUGCAUAGAUAUCACGCAGAACGCCGAUUGCGAAGGCAGCUUACCGGCGCUCAACUGACGCUGAGGCACGAAAGUGCGGGUAUCGAACAGG
rnacentral:rRNA from 1 species